rnacentral:rRNA from 1 species
GACGAACGCUGGCGGCGUGCUUAACACAUGCAAGUCGAACGGAGAGGCCCUGCUUUUGUGGGGUGCUCGAGUGGCGAACGGGUGAGUAACACGUGAGUAACCUGCCCUUGACUUUGGGAUAACUUCAGGAAACUGGGGCUAAUACCGGAUAGGAGCUCCUGCUGCAUGGUGGGGGUUGGAAAGUUUCGGCGGUUGGGGAUGGACUCGCGGCUUAUCAGCUUGUUGGUGGGGUAGUGGCUUACCAAGGCUUUGACGGGUAGCCGGCCUGAGAGGGUGACCGGCCACAUUGGGACUGAGCUACGGCCCAGCCUCCUACGGGACGCAGCAGUGGGGAAUAUUGCACAAUGGGCGGAAGCCUGAUGCAGCAACGCCGCGUGCGGGAUGACGGCCUUCGGGUUGUAAACCGCUUUCGCCUGUGACGAAGCGUGAGUGACGGUAAUGGGUAAAGAAGCACCGGCUAACUCCGUG